rnacentral:sRNA from 1 species
UAGUGCUAUUCCUACAGUUUCAUUUUUGGUUUGUUCUUUUGUCAAUCUUGCUUCCACUCUCUUCUUUUAAAAUUUUUUACAAGACCUGAACCAAGCCCAGACAUUCAUGUGCUAAAGGCCUGCUCGACAUUAAGAUGGUUUAUGAAUUUAUGAUAACCUCAGGGUUGUCGAUAAUAAUAGUUCCAUGACAGGAUUCCCUAUGAUUCUGUCCUCUCCAUGAAAUUAAUCAUAAUAUUACACAUAUUUGAAUUAAAAACAGCAUACAUAGAUAAUAUACUCCUAGAUUUCUGUUUUCUUUAAGAUUCCUAAACCUGUUUAAACUUCAAGAAUGGGGAGUACUGGAUGCAACACCUACUACUACUACCUGCUAGACAAUUAGAUUGCCAAUCUUGGUGGCAAUUGUCAAAAUAUCGAAUUAUGCUGAAGGAAGCAUUUUGGAAGUUACAUGAUCAAGGCCAGUAGAUCCAAUUGUUUCUCUCUUUUUUUUCAUGUUGAACUCAACCACAUCUAUUAUUUAGUUAACCUUAUUACACUAGGUAGAAGAAGAUUUGAAUAAGGUGCACUGACUGAUUUGAACAACUCGAUUAUGGUCAACUCUGACCUAAUGAUGUAGUUUGUUUUCUAACUAUCGUCUUGUUCAAAUGUUUUAAUAGUUUUGUAUUUGUACUGGUAUUGUCUUGUCAUCGAUGAGUGUUCUGCUUUUUAUUAGCAAUUAGUAAAAACUGGAUAACUCUUGAUUCAUCAUGUUUUACCUUUGUAACUCUGUUAAAUGUCAAUUGGAAAUUCUGUAAGAGAACUGACCCUUUUCACGUUGUUGCACAGUGCACAUAGUGUCAACCUGUGCACCUUGUGUCAACCAGCUACUACAAUUGGACCAUUUGAAGCCCCAAUCUUCACUUAACUGUUGAUGUCAAAAUGAUUCUAAGUUAAUAUUAAUUUGGAUAUUCCUCGUAUGCCACUGACAUCUGACAUAUAAAGGGACAUUCUGUGG